rnacentral:lncRNA from 1 species
AGCCUGGCCCCGAGAAAGGAGAAAUCCAGCACUGACUCCCAGUGCAACUGUUACAUCAACGGAGAGCGCCCUAGAAAGCUGUCUUUUCCUCACUGACACUGAUCUCAGGACCCCGAUGCUGACUUGCAGCCAGGGGUCGGCUGCAUUGAGGACAUGAAGGCGGGUCUGGGAAGCCGUCCCAACACCGCAGGCAGAAGGAAGCUUCCACUCCUCAGGCAGAUACUCCCCGGUGAGAAUAAGGCACAGUCAACGAUGCCAGUGACACCAGACCCCUGACUAAUAGGUCAAUCGGUUCAAUGGCAAUGAGUCUACGGGACGGCCUGUUUGUAGCCCAGAGCCACAGUUCAAAGCGCUCCAGAUGCAGGACUCCCUGCCACUGCCUGAGCCUCAGCAGAGGCCUGCCAACAUUUUCUUCCUGCUUCCAUCCAGUCCAGGAAAAACAAUGAAGAUUAGAUCACACUCACCAUUAUAGGCACUGAAUUAUUUCAUGUUACUGUCAUGUCUUCCUUUUUUCUCUCACAGAUCAUAAGCCACCGCUUAACCUCAAAGAAAACCAUAAAGGCUCUGACUUUCCAGAUGUAAAGCCCAGCCGAUUCUAAUACUACCACCCAUCUUUGCCCCAUCCUCACGCAGCUGCUCUGGAGGGCAGACAAGACAGCACCCCAGUAGCAUGUGUACCAUGUCAGGAAAAGCAACGAGCCCAGCUAUGGGGGCACAUGACCAUCAGCAAGAGAGAAGCUGCCUCACGGACGCACCUGAGUGCUGCCUCUCCACCACAGACACCCAGAAACUCACAAGCUGGAAGCACUCGCUCACUCCAGGAUUCAACUCUAAACUGGACAUUUCCUAGCUGAAAUAAUCACAAAACUGCAACAACAGAGCAAAAGAGAGGUAAGGAAGACGAAGCCGCAGGCAGCCUGUCACCUGUAUAGGUGCUAAGUGUGUUCUAAGCCAUCUUCAGGAACCUUGCACAGAAAUAUAUUGUGGUGGUCUUAGUUUAGGACAAAGCACAAAACUUACAAGAAACUAAGGCCAACCAGUAACUCCUUGAAACAAACGAGCUUUGUGGGGUCAUUUGAAAAAAUUCAACUAGGAAAUAACAACAACAGUAACACAGCAAAAGCAUCUCACCCAGUACUGAUGUCAUUCCUGAAUCUCGUGGUUUCUUUCCAGUUUGUACCAAUAGAAUGCACAGGAAAAGGCUUCGCUGUGCUUAGCAGGUUCCGAUGUGAGGCAUCAGAAUAUGGGUCGCAGAUGGAAGAGGUGCCCAUCCAUCCAGAGCCGGUAUUUGGUCCCAAAUUCCACAGCCACAGAGUUCUGCACAUGCUCUCCCGUGACAGCUGGAUAGGGAUGGCCUCCUGAGAAGCCACAGGCUAUGGCCCUGCCAGCCUGGCACUGAGGCAGGGCGACACUUCCAGCUGAAGGGAGUGUUCUUCAAUACCUCUGGCUGAAGGAAGCUGUGCUGGGAGGGGUGACAUCAAGAGUGCAGGCACCGCAGCCCCAUGUUCUGCGUCUCAGCUGCAGAGCCAUGAAUGGUUCCGCUGGGAACAGGUCCCGGCCUCUGAGCUCACAACUUGCAGUUGACGUAGCUUUAGUGAUGAUUCUUUGAUCAUCAUCUACAGUCUCCUGGCAGGACACAGGGAGGUGUGAGCAGCUGACCCCGUCUGACGACUCAGACCUGACUUGCUCAGGAGAGCCAGCCCGAUCCGGUCCACUUUCUUGAGGUCUGACGUCCAAUCCACCUCACUGGGUUCCAACAGAUCUCCACUUUUGGAGGAAGGAUCUUCACUUGAUCUAAGAAUUUUUAAGGUGGACAAGCAAAGCCUAAAGUCCCUUCCAGCCCUGCAAUACUAUGGGGUCUACACAGAAGUAGAAGACUGCUCUUCUCACUCAUUGGCUUUGCUUCAACAAAUGGUUCGGCUUCUGCCGUGAUGAAGACCAGCUCACUCAAACCUUGGUUCCUAUGAAAGUAACUGAAGAGCUUCCAGAAUACAAUGAUAGUCCCAAAGGGAUCUGAUGUGGCUGAGUAGGGCAACCUCAGAAACACCAUCAGAAACAAUGAAAACCAUACAACAAAUGUGCUCAUCAUAUACUUACAACCAGAUCUCAAGUCUUCAGUCAUCUCAUCACAUUUUGUUUGCUCGUAAAAGAUGUGUGACAGGCAAGGUCCAUGACCCCUCUGCCCUCUUCAUUUCCAUAGACCACAUUCUGUGUGAGAUUCAUUUCUAAAAAACAGAAUUCCAAAACUAUCCAUUGACACAUGUAACAACUAAAAUGAUACGACAUUCUCACAUAAUUGUUUUAUCUAGAUGACUG